rnacentral:rRNA from 1 species
CGGCAACAGCUCAAAUUUGAAAUCUGGCCCUCUCAGGGUCCGAGUUGUAAUUUGGAGAGGAUGCUUCGGGUGUGGCCCCGGUCUAAGUUCCUUGGAACAGGACGUCACAGAGGGUGAGAGCCCCGUCUGGUUGGAUGCCGAGCCUCUGUAAAGCUCCUUCGAC